AACGAACGCUGGCGGCAGGCUUAACACAUGCAAGUCGAGCGCCCCGCAAGGGGAGCGGCAGACGGGUGAGUAACGCGUGGGAAUCUACCCAUCUCUACGGAAUAACGCAUGGAAACGUGUGCUAAUACCGUAUACGUCCUUCGGGAGAUAGAUUUAUCGGAGAUGGAUGAGCCCGCGUUGGAUUAGCUAGUUGGUGUGGUAAAGGCCUACCAAGGCGACGAUCCCUAGCUGGUCUGAGAGGAUGAUCAGCCACACUGGGACUGAGACACGGCCCAGACUCCUACGGGAGGCAGCAGCAGGGAAUAUUGGACAAUGGGCGCAAGCCUGAUCCAGCCAUGCCGCGUGAGUGAUGAAGGCCCUAGGGUUGUAAAGCUCUUUCACCGGUGAAGAUAAUGACGGUAACCGGAGAAGAAGCCCCGGCUAACUUCGUGCCAGCCGCCGCGGUAACAC
rnacentral:rRNA from 1 species